rnacentral:rRNA from 1 species
GUACCGGAUAUGACCGCAUGCCGCAUGGUGUGUGGUGGAAAGAUUUAUCGGUGCAGGAUGGGCCCGCGGCCUAUCAGCUUGUUGGUGGGGUAAUGGCCUACCAAGGCGACGACGGGUAGCCGACCUGAGAGGGUGACCGGCCACACUGGGACUGAGACACGGCCCAGACUCCUACGGGAGGCAGCAGUGGGGAAUAUUGCACAAUGGGCGGAAGCCUGAUGCAGCGACGCCGCGUGAGGGAUGAAGGCCUUCGGGUUGUAAACCUCUUUCAGCAGGGACGAAGCGUGAGUGACGGUACCUGCAGAAGAAGCACCGGCUAACUACGUGCCAGCAGCCGCGGUAAUACGUAGGGUGCGAGCGUUGUCCGGAAUUACUGGGCGUAAAGAGUUCGUAGGCGGUUUGUCGCGUCGUUUGUGAAAACCCGGGGCUCAACUUCGGGCUUGCAGGCGAUACGGGCAGACUUGAGUGUUUCAGGGGAGACUGGAAUUCCUGGUGUAGCGGUGAAAUGCGCAGAUAUCAGGAGGAACACCGGUGGCGAAGGCGGGUCUCUGGGAAACAACUGACGCUGAGGAACGAAAGCGUGGGUAGCAAAUGGGNUUA